rnacentral:rRNA from 1 species
AUUGAACGCUGGCGGCAUGCCUUACACAUGCAAGUCGAACGGCAGCACGGGAGCAAUCCUGGUGGCGAGUGGCGAACGGGUGAGUAAUAUAUCGGAACGUGCCCGGUCGUGGGGAUAACGUAGCGAAAGCUACGCUAAUACCGCAUACGAUCUACGGAUGAAAGCGGGGGAUCGCAAGACCUCGCGCGAUUGGAGCGGCCGAUAUCAGAUUAGGUAGUUGGUGAGGUAAAGGCUCACCAAGCCGACGAUCUGUAGCUGGUCUGAGAGGACGACCAGCCACACUGGGACUGAGACACGGCCCAGACUCCUACGGAGGCAGCAGUGGGAAUUUGGACAAUGGGCGCAAGCCUGAUCCAGCAAUGCCG